UAUUAGUAGAAUUUAGUCCCUAAAUAAAAUAUCUAAGAGAAAGAUGUCACGUCCAUCACAUCGUAACAUUCACAUUGGAUUCAAAGAUACACCACAGAUUGAAAUAUCUUGCAUUUUUGUGCUUAUUACGAUAACUAAAAAUGUGUUUAAAUAAUUAAACUCAAUUGUCCAUAUCCGGAAAAUGUAUAGUCAAUUGCGUAUGUUUCUAGUUCCAGAGGACUACAUAAAUUUUGCAAGGAUUUAAAUAUCCAUCGGAUUGAAUAUAAAGGGUUUAAAAAUGCAUAUCAUUUGUUACGUUUAGUCCUUUUUUUAUCGACAGGACAAAAAAAAAAAAACAAAAUAUAAAACUUACCAAUCCCACAGCUGAUACAAACAGGUAAACAUGAUGCCGGUGAAUUUUUGUAUAAAUCACUUCAGUCAAAAAAUGUAUCAUACAAAAAAUUUUAAAUAAAAAUACAAAGAACUUAAAAACCAAAUAAAUAAAAACACAACCGAAUUUAUUUGUUUUUUCUUUUUUUAAAAAACUUUUUGUUUUUGUUCUUAUUUUGUCUUCUUCAGUUCAGUUAACCGAAAAUAUUUUAUUUCGAUUUCCAAAUAUUUCUCUAUCCACUUCACAAUUUUAUUUUUUCGUUUCAUAAUUUUAUUUUUAUUUAUAUUAAU